rnacentral:rRNA from 1 species
AUACGGAGGGUGCGAGCGUUAAUCGGAAUUACUGGGCGUAAAGGGUUCGUAGGUGGUUAGAUAAGUCAGAUGUGAAAGCCCUGGGCUCAACCUGGGAACUGCAUUUGAUACUGUUUAACUAGAGUUUACUAGAGGAUUGGGGAAUUUCCGGUGUAGCGGUGAAAUGCGUAGAGAUCGGAAGGAACAUCAAUGGCGAAGGCAACAAUCUGGGGUUAAACUGACACUGAGGGACGAAAGCGUGGGUAGCAAACAGGAUUAGAAACCCGGGUAGUCC